rnacentral:tRNA from 1 species
UCCUGGUUAACUCAGUUGGUAGAGCGCUCCACUGGAAAUGGAGAGGUCUCUGGUUCGAUACCAGGACCAGGCG